UUUGAAAGAUAAAAAAAAAGAAAUCUAUUUGAUAAUUAGUAAGCACCGUUGUUUUGUUUCAACUAAGGAUAUUUAAAAGCCAUCUAAUCUGCCUCCUUGUUUGAGAGGGAAAAAAGAAAAUCCCACUAUAGUGCCCAUAAUAUUAAUUUCUUUGGCAACAUGACUAUGCGGAUGGCACCAUCGAGGAGCUUCAGUUGGAGAGAGCCCGAGCACAAGCAACGAAAAGAAGAC
rnacentral:lncRNA from 1 species